rnacentral:rRNA from 1 species
AGCGAACGCUGGCGGCAUGCCUAACACAUGCAAGUCGAACGAGACCUUCGGGUCUAGUGGCGCACGGGUGCGUAACGCGUGGGAACCUGCCCUUAGGUUCGGAAUAACUCAGAGAAAUUUGAGCUAAUACCGGAUGAUGUCGAAAGACCAAAGAUUUAUCGCCUUUGGAUGGGCCCGCGUAGGAUUAGCUAGUUGGUGGGGUAAAGGCCUACCAAGGCGACGAUCCUUAGCUGGUCUGAGAGGAUGAUCAGCCACACUGGGACUGAGACACGGCCCAGACUCCUACGGGAGGCAGCAGUGGGGAAUAUUGGACAAUGGGCGAAAGCCUGAUCCAGCAAUGCCGCGUGAGUGAUGAAGGCCUUAGGGUUGUAGAGCUCUUUUACCCGGGAUGAUAAUGACAGUACCGGGAGAAUAAGCUCCGGCUAACUCCGUGCCAGCCGCCGCAGUAACAC